CAGUCGCCGCGGUAACACGUAGGGUGCAAGCGUUAAUCGGAAUUACUGGGCGUAAAGCGUGCGCAGGCGGUUAUAUAAGACAGAUGUGAAAUCCCCGGGCUCAACCUGGGAACUGCAUUUGUGACUGUAUAGCUAGAGUACGGCAGAGGGGGAUGGAAUUCCGCGUGUAGCAGUGAAAUGCGUAGAUAUGCGGAGGAACACCGAUGGCGAAGGCAAUCCCCUGGGCCUGUACUGACGCUCAUGCACGAAAGCGUGGGGAGCGAACAGGAUUAGAUACCCCCGUAGUCCCUGUCUCUUAUAC
rnacentral:rRNA from 1 species